CCUACGGGCGGCAGCAGUGAGGAAUAUUGGUCAAUGGACGAGAGUCUGAACCAGCCAAGUAGCGUGAAGGAUGACUGCCCUAUGGGUUGUAAACUUCUUUUAUAUGGGAAUAAAAUGAUCCACGUGUGGGAUUUUGUAUGUACCAUAUGAAUAAGGAUCGGCUAACUCCGUGCCAGCAGCCGCGGUAAUACGGAGGAUCCGAGCGUUAUCCGGAUUUAUUGGGUUUAAAGGGAGCGUAGGUGGAUUGUUAAGUCAGUUGUGAAAGUUUGCGGCUCAACCGUAAAAUUGCAGUUGAAACUGGCAGUCUUGAGUACAGUAGAGGUGGGCGGAAUUCGUGGUGUAGCGGUGAAAUGCUUAGAUAUCACGAAGAACUCCGAUUGCGAAGGCAGUUCACUGGACUGCAACUGACACUGAGGCUCGAAAGUGUGGGUAUCAAACAGGAUUAGAUACCCCUGUAGUC
rnacentral:rRNA from 1 species